rnacentral:misc_RNA from 1 species
CGGCACUUUCUUUCCCCGAGAGAUGUAAUUUCUCCUUUUGAUCUUUUCGACACUCUGACAUCAUUAUAAUCACCACCACAAAAUCGGAUUUAUUUGAACCCCAAAUAAAAUAUAUCAGAAUUUCGAGAUUGUUUCUCUUAAGCUAUCUAAUAACUAGUAGAUAAUUGAGGCAUUCAAAUGUUGCAAAAUGCACUAAGCAAAAACAAAACCUAUAUUACUACUCAAAAACUGCAUUGCAACAGAAUUCUCAAGUUUGACAGCAAUAACGGAUAAUUCAGACACCUGAUGAUUGGAGAACCAAUCUGACUACAUUGACUAAAUGUUCCAAGAACUCAUCAACAUAAAACAAGAAUGCAAGAUAAAGUAUGAAGCCGCCAAAGCCACUUAAGUAGUAAGCUCCAUUAUAGCACUAACAAUGUCCCCAUUGUGUGUCUUAAGAGCCUUGACAGCCUUACUCCUUGAUACUCCUGCUUGUGUCAUAACUAGAUCAAUAUCUCGAGGCUCAACCCCAGUCUCAUCAACUUCUUCCUCUUCUUCAUCUGCUUGUGCAGCAGCAGCUGCACCAGAAAUAUCUGAUUUCGGAAGUACAGAUGCCAUGUCUGGCACCCUAAACUGUUGGGCAGCCUGUGUCUGCAGCUGAGAACUCAAAUCCUCUAUCUUAGCCUCCCCAAAUAUGACAUAUGUCUCAGAGUUUGGGCUCUUAAAAACAUCUGGUUUGGAUAUGAAAAAUAGUAUAUUUUUUGUUCUCUUGAUGGUUACCCUACUAACACCAGUAACAGGUUUCAUACCCAGCUUCAACAUUGCCUUGCGACUCUUCUUUUCACUUCUGCUCUGCUUAGAACUCCCAUUUGCCCCUGCAUGUUACUUUCCUAUUAAUAAGUUCAAUAGAAGAGGUCUAAGCCUUUCAAACAAAAAUGUUAAACCUGAAACAGAAAUUAUAUUACAAGCAAUUCAAUUAGGUGUAUUUCCAGUAACAUGUAACACACCGAAACCAAAAUUGCUGCUACAUUGAUUCAUAUGCUGGUGGUGAGUCAAAUGUGAUUUGAGGGACACAGAACCAUUAAACAUUUGGAAUUUGGGGAUCUUUGUGAAUAUUGACAUUCAGGAAAUGGCAUGUUGAUUCCACCUUAUACCAUUAAACUCAGAAACAUGAAACAUCAAAUAAAAGUAGCCACAACUCUGUCACAUGUGAGAGACAUAACAUGCAAAAAAACAGAAGAGAUGACAGCAAAUAUGAUGAUAUAAGCAAUAAAACAUUGCCGGUUCCAAAGUUUAGCAAGAAACGGAAGUAAUUACAUGAAAACAGAGGAAACAGAAAACCAUAUUCCCCCAAUAAUAGGAGCAAAAAACCUUUUAUAAAAAAAUUAUUGUAUCUGUACAACCAGUGAAAUUUCUCCAAGAGCAGCUUUAGAAUAGCAUGACAGCUAUGCUAAACGUCCUCAAACCAGAUGCUCAUGAAAUAGAGCUAACUGAUGCCAAUAAGUCAACCCAAAUUUAUGGGGAAGAAUGCAUGAUUAGUGAUGUGCAAUUCUAAUAGAACUGCACUAAAUUAACGUAUUCUAACCUUUUAUAAUGUCAAUCUUCAUAUAUGCAUUCUUGCCAGUAGAGUGAAAUCCAAUACAAUACAUUCCCUCUUCCAAACUACCAAAUCUCAAAAACAAAAUUCAGUUCAAACGGAUUAUAUAAUCAUGUCUUUGGAAAUGAAUAUUGAGACAAUGCAUCAACCAUUCUUUUGGUGCACAUGUUCCAAAAUUGAGGAAAGAAAAUUCAUAUUUACAGUUUCAAAACAUUUUGUAAAAUCAUCCAAAUAGGAAAAAGCUUUAAAAGGAAUCUCCAGUUUCUUUCCAGGAACAGUUAAUCAUUUACCAUGCAGAACUUGCAGUGUACACCGACAUAACAGUAGAAGCCAAACCCAGUAAACUGUGAAGCAACUUCAAAUUCACAAGAAUACAAGAAAACCCAGAUUCAAUAAUCAGCUAUAUUUACCAAACAAAAUACUCAAAAGAAAAACAAACAAGCAUUAUUAUCACAAUCAAUAAAGGGAAAAUCAAAAAUCCCGGCGAAGGAAAGCGAAAACAAAAAGUUGGCACCUGGGGUUCCAUCUUCCUUAUCAUCGUCCUCAUCGUCAUCGUCGUCUUCGUCGUCCUCAUCAUCCUCCUCCUUCACGUCCUCUACAACGGGCACAUCGUCGAGCUUAAGCUUUUGCUGGGUCUCCUCCUCAGUGGAAG